GAAACAGCUGUCCGGACUGCUGAGCGUGGAUGGACUCAUGCUAGUCGCAUUAAAGGCCCAGUGACGAGACCCCACUGGAAAGUAAUCAGUACUCCAGAGAUAAGACAAGCAACCCCAUAUCACCAGGAAGCAGGAAACGACCCCCUAACAACAACUGAAGCAUGCGAAGAAUACCUCCCAGGCGUGCUUAUGCAAGAUAACCAUCAGAUGUCCAAACUUAUCGACAGAGAUAAGACAAGCAACCCCAUAUCACCAGGAAGCAGGAAACGACCCCCUAACAACAACUGAAGCAUGCGAAAAGUACCUCCACUAUCUCAUUGAACAUGGAAGUAAAGAUGUAUAAAGAGAGACUGUUUGAACUGCUCAGUACGGCAGUUGGCGGAGCGCAGACUCCCCUGCCGUCCAGCGCUGUAUUUGCUCAUAUUCUACUUGCUACAAUUAAUAAAAUUCUAAUUGGAUUAUGAUC